rnacentral:rRNA from 1 species
CAGUCGCCGCGGGAAUACGAAGGAGGCUAGCGUUGCUCGGAAUCACUGGGCGUAAAGGGUGCGUAGGCGGGUCUUUAAGUCAGGGGUGAAAUCCUGGAGCUCAACUCCAGAACUGCCUUUGAUACUGAAGAUCUUGAGUUCGGGAGAGGUGAGUGGAACUGCGAGCGUAAAGGUGAAAUUCGUAGAUAUUCGCAAGAACACCAGUGGCGAAGGCGGCUCACUGGCCCGAUACUGACGCUGAGGCACGAAAGCGUGGGGAGCAAACAGGAUUAGAUACCCCCGUAGUCCCUGUCUCUUAUAC